rnacentral:rRNA from 1 species
UACAGAGCUCUCAAGCGUUGUUCGGAUUCAUUGGGCGUAAAGGGUGCGUAGGCGGCGCGGUAAGUCGGGUGUGAAAUCUUGGAGCUUAACUCCGAAACUGCAUUCGAUACUGCCGUGCUUGAGGACUGGAGAGGAGACUGGAAUUUACGGUGUAGCGGUGAAAUGCGUAGAUAUCGUAAGGAAGACCAGUGGCGAAGGCGGGUCUCUGGACAGUUCCUGACGCUGAGGCACGAAAGCGUGGGGAGCAAACAGG